AGCGAACGCUGGCGGCAGGCUUAACACAUGCAAGUCGAACGCCCGGGCAACCGGGAGUGGCAGACGGGUGAGUAACGCGUGGGAACGUACCCUUUGGUUCGGAAUAACUCAGGGAAACUUGAGCUAAUACCGGAUACGCCCCGAGAGGGGGAAAGAUUUAUUGCCGAAGGAUCGGCCCGCGUCCGAUUAGCUAGUUGGUGUGGUAAUGGCGCACCAAGGCGACGAUCGGUAGCUGGUCUGAGAGGAUGAUCAGCCACACUGGGACUGAGACACGGCCCAGACUCCUACGGGAGGCAGCAGUGGGGAAUAUUGGACAAUGGGGGCAACCCUGAUCCAGCCAUGCCGCGUGAGUGAUGAAGGCCUUAGGGUUGUAAAGCUCUUUCGGCGGGGACGAUAAUGACGGUACCCGCAGAAGAAGCCCCGGCUAACUUCGUGCCAGCCGCCGCCGUAACAC
rnacentral:rRNA from 1 species